rnacentral:rRNA from 1 species
GUGGGGAAUAUUGGACAAUGGGCGAAAGCCUGAUCCAGCCAUGCCGCGUGUGUGAAGAAGGUCUUCGGAUUGUAAAGCACUUUAAGUUGGGAGGAAGGGCAGUAAGUUAAUACCUUGCUGUUUUGACGUUACCGACAGAAUAAGCACCGGCUAACUUCGUGCCAGCAGCCGCGGUAAUACGAAGGGUGCAAGCGUUAAUCGGAAUUACUGGGCGUAAAGCGCGCGUAGGUGGUUUUGUAAGUUGAAGGUGAAAUCCCCGGGCUCAACCUGGGAACUGCCUCCAAAACUGAAUGACUAGAGUACGGUAGAGGGUAGUGGAAUUUCCUGUGUAGCGGUGAAAUGCGUAGAUAUAGGAAGGAACACCAGUGGCGAAGGCGACUACCUGGACUGAUACUGACACUGAGGUGCGAAAGCGUGGGGAGCAAACAGGAUUAGAAACCCGAGUAGUCC